rnacentral:lncRNA from 13 species
GGUCGCAGAAGGGCCAGUCCUCGGCAGCGUCUCCUCAUUGGCAGGCCAUGGCCCUCUCGGUGCCAGGACCUGUGUACUCCAAGGUGGACAAGGAGAGCAAGGCCACUGUCUCUGGAAAGCUGCCACUGGAAUGAACGUGUUUGUAUAUCAAUACAGCAGGUAAAGCAGAAGUUCCAGCUGAGGUGCCCAGACAACAGAGGAAACAUGAGGUCCCGUUGGAGGAUGCAUGAAGGAAGACCAGCUGAGGAGCCCCUAACCCUCAUCACCAUGAGAGUAUAAAUGAGUCAGAGAUUCGAGAUUUGAGGAGGAUUUAUGGCAUCAGCUCCUGUUAGUGAGCUCGAG